rnacentral:rRNA from 1 species
UACGGGGGGGGCAAGCGUUGUUCGGAAUUACUGGGCGUAAAGGGCUCGUAGGCGGCCAACUAAGUCGGAUGUGAAAUCCCCAGGCUCAACCUGGGAACUGCAUCCGAUACUGGAUGGCUUGAAUCCGGGAGAGGGAUGCAGAAUUCCAGGUGUAGCGGUGAAAUGCGUAGAUAUCUGGGAGGAAUACCGGUGGCGAAGGCGGCAUCCUGGACCGGCAUUGACGCUGAGGAGCGAAAGCCAGGGGAGCAAACGGG